rnacentral:lncRNA from 1 species
ACAUAGUCAUCUAUGUUAAAGAUAGGAUCAAAUUAUUAGUUAGAUUUUAGGGUUAAUUGCAUAUAGUUCUCUGUAAACAUAUUGAAUAACAAAUAUAUCCCUAUAAAGUUUAACUCUUUAUUUUUAUCCCUUACAAAAGUCCAGUAAUAUUUAUAUUUGUUCAUCUGAUUUGGUACCGUAAGAGCACUGUUUAUUUUUUUAAUAAUAGUUAAGUGAAAUGAUAUUUUUGCCCUUAUAAAUAUAUUCAUCCAAUAGCCCCAACUAUUAGAAUUAUGCAGAAAUAUUCUUCGAAAAAGUAUUUUACCCAAUAAUAUAAGAGAGGUAAAAAGGUUAAUUUAACUCAUAUACUAAUCAUGGUUAAU